rnacentral:rRNA from 1 species
AUUGAACGCUGGCGGCAGGCUUAACACAUGCAAGUCGAGCGGGGGAAGGUAGCUUGCUACCGGACCUAGCGGCGGACGGGUGAGUAAUGCUUAGGAAUCUGCCUAUUAGUGGGGGACAACAUCUCGAAAGGGAUGCUAAUACCGCAUACGUCCUACGGGAGAAAGCAGGGGAUCUUCGGACCUUGCGCUAAUAGAUGAGCCUAAGUCGGAUUAGCUAGUUGGUGGGGUAAAGGCCUACCAAGGCGACGAUCUGUAGCGGGUCUGAGAGGAUGAUCCGCCACACUGGGACUGAGACACGGCCCAGACUCCUACGGGAGGCAGCAGUGGGGAAUAUUGGGCAAUGGGGGGAACCCUGAUCCAGCCAUGCCGCGUGUGUGAAGAAGGCCUUAUGGUUGUAAAGCACUUUAAGCGAGGAGGAGGCUACUUUAGUUAAUACCUAGAGAUAGUGGACGUUACUCGCAGAAUAAGCACCGGCUAACUCUGUGCCAACAGCCGCGGUAACAC